CUUGAGAUUGAGAGACCAGUACAAGGAGGAAACGUAAAUGCACGAACCCUCCAGUGUCCAGCUUUGUUGAUGGUGGGUGAUAAUUCUCCAGCUGUGGAUGCUGUGGUUGACAGCAACUCCAGAAUGAACCUAACAACAACAACAUUUCUCAAGAUAACAUCCCUACCCACAACAAUUUGGGGAUUUUUCUUUCCAUUUGAGCAGUAUUAACCUCCGG
rnacentral:lncRNA from 1 species